rnacentral:rRNA from 1 species
UACAGAGGUCCCAAGCGUUGUUCGGAUUCACUGGGCGUAAAGGGUGCGUAGGUGGUGGGGUAAGUCUGAUGUGAAAUCUCCGAGCUUAACUCGGAAAUGGCAUUGGAAACUACCUUGCUAGAGGUUUGGAGGGAGACUGGAAUUCUUGGUGUAGCAGUGAAAUGCGUAGAUAUCAAGAGGAACACCGGUGGCGAAAGCGGUUCUCUGGGCCGAUACUGACGCUGAGGAGCGAAAGCGUGGGGAGCGAACAGG